rnacentral:rRNA from 1 species
GUCCACGCCGUAAACGAUGAGUGCUAGGUGUUGGAUCCUUUCCGGGAUUCAGUGCCGCAGCUAACGCAUUAAGCACUCCGCCUGGGGGAGUACGACCGCAAAGGUUGAAAACUCAAAAGGAAUUGACGGGGGGCCCGCACAAGCGGUGGAGCAUGUGGUUUAAUUCGAAGCAAACGCGAAGAACCUUACCAGGUCUUGACAUCCCGAUGCUAUUUCAGAGAUAGAAAGUUACUUCGGUACAUCGGUGACAGGUGGUGCAUGGUUGUCGU